AUGCUCACUUACUAUACCUUGCCUUCAUGCUUAGUGUCACUUAUAUUGUUGCAAGUUUUGCCUUAUUUUGGGUUUGCUUACGUUUAUUUUAUAUCCAUAUGUGCAAAUCCCGCAUUGUCAUUGAUCCACCAAAAAGGGGGAGAUUGUAAGGGCACAUUUCUCCCUAUGUGGUUUUGGUGA
rnacentral:rRNA from 1 species